rnacentral:rRNA from 1 species
CCUACGGGUGGCAGCAGUGAGGAAUAUUGGUCAAUGGGCGCGAGCCUGCACCAGCCAAGUCGCGUGAGGGAUGACGGUCCUACGGAUUGUAAACCUCUUUUGCCGGGGAGCAAGCGUGCGUUCGUGAACGCGCGUCGAGAGUACCCGGAGAAAAAGCAUCGACUAACUCCGUGCCAGCAGCCGCGGUAAUACGGAGGAUCCGAGCGUUAUCCGGAUUUUUUGGGUUUAAAGGGUGCGUAGGCGGCCUUUUAAGUCAGCGGUGAAAGUCUGUGGCUCAACCAUAGAAUUGCCGUUGAAACUGGGGGGCUUGAGGAUGUUUGAGGCAGGCGGAAUGCGUGGUGUAGCGGUGAAAUGCUUAGAUAUCACGCAGAACCCCGAUUGCGAAGGCAGCCUGCCAAGCCAUGACUGACGCUGAUGCACGAAAGCGUGGGGAACAAACAGGAUUAGAUACCCUAGUAGUC